rnacentral:rRNA from 1 species
GACGAACGCUGGCGGCGUGCUUAACACAUGCAAGUCGAACGGAAAGGCCCUGCUUUUGUGGGGUGCUCGAGUGGCGAACGGGUGAGUAACACGUGAGUAAACUGCACUUGUCUUUGGGAUAACUUCAGGAAACUGGGGCUAAUAACGGAGAGGAGCUCCUGCUGCAUGGGGGGGGUUGGAGAGUUUCGGGGGUUGGGGAUGGUCUCGAGGCUUACGGGCUGGUUGGUGGGGUAGGGGCUUGCAAGGGUUUUGACGGGUAGCCCGCCUGAGAGGGUGACCGGCCACAUUGGUACUGAGAUACGGCCCAGACUCCUACGGGAGGCAGCAGUGGGGAAUAUUGCACAAUGGGCGGAAGCCUGAUGCAGCAACGCCGCGUGCGGGAUGACGGCCUUCGGGUUGUAAACCGCUUUCGCCUGUGACGAAGCGUGAUUGACGGUAAUGGGUAAAGAAGCACCGGCUAACUACGUG